GUCAUGCUGGAGGUGCCAUCUGUCCAGCAGGAAGACUGUCCCCCUUGUCGGUCCUAAAGCAUUGGCUCCAUAUUUUAUUCACAGCUGGCACCUGCUAUUUUCUGAACGGAGACACAUGAACAGCCAGCAAAGGGAAGCAUGCAGUCCAGGGGCAACUGCAGAUUUUAACUUAGAAGGUUUAAAUUGUGAAGGCUUUCUUAGAAAAGACAGGGACCACAAGAUCAUAAUCAAUAAAAUUAGAAAGCCACUCAACGAUAAGGAAUUGUAAGGACUCUUAGGAAAACACGGAAAUGGUCUAGCAAUUAGCAGAACAACUCAGUAUUUUUUUCAUUUUUCAUAAAAAUUCUACUACAGUUUACAUGAUGAAUAUUCCGCUGUGGCCUAUAUUGUAAAGACCUGGUCCCUAGCCUGAGGCAACAGGAAAUGUUGGAACCUUUAAGAGGCGGGGCCUGGUAGAAGGUAGCUUGGCUUUAGGGAGCAAGCCUUUGACAUUCGGACUCUGGCUCUCUUCUAUCUCUCUGCUUUCGAGCUGUCACACGGUCCAUCCAUCACAAGUGCAGAAGCAAUGGGCCACCCUGCCUCCACACCGUAAGCAAGCCUCUCCUCUUUGAGCGUCUCAGACCUCCCUCCACAGCGACAAGAUCCAGAGAUCAUGAAAUUGCUACUAAUACCCUGAGGUGAGGAAACGCUGCAGAAAACAUCACUACCUUCACAGAGGCCUCUUUACCCUGACCUUUUGACUGGUGGAGAUGCGAAUGUGCUCCAACACUCACAGGGACAGCAGCCUGUCUAUCUCUUGGAGAGGGGUCUCUCCUUCCUCUGCCUUGCAAACCCCACUAAGGAACGAAGAGUCUAGAGCUCUAGUUUCCAGGCGUCUGGCCCUUAAGGUAACAAGGAAGGAUGCCAUUGGAAAUGAAUGCUGAUGGACAAGAAACUGAAGAGCAGAACAGGCAAAAAAAAGGGGGGGCAGGAGAGGAGCAGGAGCAGAGAGUGAAAAGAAGGCGCAAAGGCAGAUUUCAUUUGAGGGCAGAAUCAAGUAAAACAGUUUUGGAAUAGGGACUGCUGAAGCUUCGGAAGGUAAGAGAACAUGGGAGCAAGUAGAUGAUGCGUCAGGCUAACGGCACGGAAGACGUUCAGCUGUGGGGACAAAAGGAAGCACUAGCAUCUUACUCAUAACAUUGACAGGGACCUCAGCAUUAUCUGGACCAAAAUAAGACAACUCUUAUCGUGACGUCUGCCAUUAAAACCACGGAGCUUCGUGAUUCCUCCCACGUGCCCUUUACUGAAUACCACAAAUGAUUCAGGUUGAAUGAAUAGAUUUUUAAAAAUCUUUUUAGAACUACAGCACUCUGUAUAAAUAUUACUAACUGUCAGUCCUUUUUAUCUUGGUGCAGACUUCUGAGUACUGACUCUGAGGAGCUAAAGAAGCCAAAAACAAGAAGGAUGCCCUUGAUUUCUUCCUCUUACAGUUGCCCCAUGGCCCACUCUGGCUUAGGUUGGGAAAAGCUGGGCUUCCCUGCAGGUGGAUAGGUGUCUAUGGCUGGACACCGAGGGGCCAGCAGAGCAUUAGAGAUGAGUGUUGUCCAAAUGGGUGAAGCUUCAGGCCAGUAUUCCCAGGGCAACCUGAGAAGACAAAUGGAGGUAUAAGAAAUCACCAGAAUGAGAUGAGGGAAGACGCACAGUAUGGAGGGUAGGAGGAAGCCUACAGCUUUCCCAAGGAAAGCAAGAGAAGAAGCUCUGAGAGCCAAAUGGGGGAGAACACAGAGCACUUCCUGACAUUAACCAUGGAGACAGAGGCUUAAAGAGCAUGGCUUCUCCAUGAGCUUCUCGGGUAUUUCUCUACCUCUGGUCUUCUCAUCUCUGCUCAAGGCCAUGAAUGCUGAUCAAGAUGGGACCACCACAUCUUGGUUGCCUUCUUCUCCUGGCUGGGGAAAGCAGGCCCAGGGCUGCUGCUGAAGCCUCAGUGUCUGCCACUCCAGAGAACAGCUCACUCAACUAUCGGGGUGCAUUCUCUUUCGUUCUGACUGUUGCUACUGCUUAUGGGGUCCAAAUUGUCUCCUUUUCUACAGGAGUGUGAUGACAAGAACAGCUCAGGUGUGAACUUUGAGGAAGGAAAGCAAAAGCACAGCUUCCAGACCACAGGACCUGGCAGGACACUGCCUGUGGAGUUAGCCUCUGCGGCCACAACUGAAGUCAGACUACUCUCUUGGUUUGCUUGGUCACUUCAAGCUCUGCCUUGGAUGUUACCACGCCCCCCUGCACCCGACACACACAAAGGUCAAUGUUUGGAGCUUUGUCCCUAUGGAUAUGGUGUUGGGAAAUCAUAGAAUCUUAAGAGGCAAGGACUAAGAGAGAUUCUAGAUCAUGAAGUUGGGAUGCCCUUGAAAUAGACCUUGACCAGUUCAAGAUGGUUGUUAGAAAAAGCUUGAGACUGACCCUUGAGUUGCAACCUGGCUUUCUGGUUCAAAGUGUGGUCCCUUUGUCUCAGUUACACUUCUACUAGUGUCUCCAGUCAUUAGGGGAUGCAGCUAAAAUGGAAGGCAAGAUAGGGGUAGGGGACCUCACCAGAGCCUAUACACUAGGCCACUUGGAUUCCCAGCCUUUAUGCUUAUGAGCUAAAUUAUCCUCUUUUCUUUAUAAAGUCCCCCUGUUUCAGUCUUCUUGUUGUUGCUACCUGUUGUGGUUUAAGUCUGAAACGUGCCCCCAUCUUAUGCCUGAAUAUGUUUGACUGCCUGUCCCCCAACUGGUGGUACAACGCUAGGCUGUCGUGGACACUCCGAAGUGUGUGGCUUGCUGAUAGAGAUGGUUUACUAGAGGGAUGCCUUUGAAGCUCACAACUACUUCUGGGUCUGCCUUGCUAUCUCUUGUUAUCUGCCUUGCUUCACGGUGUGAGGGGCACCAGCUCUCCACCACUCCAGCCCCCCUCCUCACUUCCAUGGACUCUGUCUAGGUUUCCCUGCUGUAAUAGAUUGAAACCAUGGGCUAAAAUAAAAAUGUCUUCUAAGAUCUA